rnacentral:rRNA from 1 species
CGUAGGUGGCGAGCGUUGUCCGGAAUUACUGGGUGUAAAGGGCGUGUAGGCGGGAAUGCAAGUCAGAUGUGAAAUGCCGAGGCUUAACCUCGGAGCUGCAUCUGAAACUGUGUUUCUUGAGUGUCGGAGAGGAAAGUGGAAUUCCCAGUGUAGCGGUGAAAUGCGUAGAUAUUGGGAGGAACACCAGUGGCGAAGGCGACUUUCUGGACGAUAACUGACGCUGAGGCGCGAAAGCGUGGGGAGCAAACAGGAUUAGAUACCCUGGUAGUCCACGCCGUAAACGAUGGAUACUAGGUGUAGGAGGUAUCGACCCCUUCUGUGCCGCAGUUAACACAAUAAGUAUCCCACCUGGGGGAUACGGCCGCAAGGUUG